UCUUCUCUCUGAUUGUACGCUUAAAAUAGAAUCUUUCUCUCACUCACAUGUUUCUCUUGGCCGAUGCCCCGAUUCCCUUUUUUCUUUCAUUCUUCCAUCUGCUCACUCCAAAAUUGCUGCCACCGGAUUAGCCGUCCCAAUAGUUUGCCCUCUUGAUUUGUUGCCUUGAGGCUACUCCUCCUCAGCUGUAGGCAUCUCCGCAGCUCAACUCGUUGUUGCGGCUACAGGGUGACUGUCUACGAUGGCUUGUCUCCUGGGCCGGUAAAUAGCGACGGAUGUGUAGCAGGGUCAGAGGAGCAUUACGCAAGGGAGGAGGUGAGAUCGUCGAUCUGCAUCAUGUUGUUGUCCUCGGCGUCUAUGCAGGUGAUGUGGGUGUGGAUCUCGCCUCCUGCAGUCAGCAUGCAUAUCCAGCUUGAGUAUGGAGGAUGCUCGCGAUGUUGUCUUCUUCCCCAAGCGCGCGAGGCAGCCGCAUCAUCAUUGUUCCCACUCGAGGAAGCCCAACAGAUCAUCACCAUCCUCCACAUCGGCAGUAUUGUUCGACCUACAGGUUAUACACUGGAGGUAGUUUCACCUCUUAUUAUGUGCAGAUGGUACUUACUGGGGGUGGUGUGAUCGCUUCAUAGAGCCGAUGACAAUUGAGGAGUGUCAACAUAGGGGAUUAGGGCGCUUGUAACUAUUGGAGGAAGAUGAUGUUGAAGGUGGGCUCUAACGUGUGCCGCGUGCUGAUCUUGAUUUCAUGCUAGCCCACAUGGUUGGUUUUCUCGCGCUCCCACCAUUGCUAACCUGAUGGCAAAAGCUCAUAAAACACAACCUUACCUUCUUGUGGUCUCACCUUUUCCCUGAUCGCUCAAGAUAGCAAAUGCCACCUUCGUUGCCAGCCUGGUAAAACAAAUCUGUCUAAAGUUAGAUUUGUUCCCACAGUGUUGUGGCAUCAAAAAUUCAGAUUAUCUUUCUUAAUCCCACAAUUCUGAUCUUUUAAUUGUA